rnacentral:rRNA from 1 species
UACGGGGGGGGCAAGCGUUGUUCGGAAUUACUGGGCGCAAAGGGCUCGUAGGCGGCCAACUAAGUCAGACGUGAAAUCCCUCGGCUUAACCGGGGAACUGCGUCUGAUACUGGAUGGCUUGAGGUUGGGAGAGGGAUGCGGAAUUCCUGGUGUAGCGGUGAAAUGCGUAGAUAUCAGGAGGAACACCUGUGGUGUAGACAGUUUACUGGACCACUUCUGACGCUGAGACACGAAAGCGUGGGUAGCAAACAGG